GGCUAGUCCCUGUGGGGUGGAGGCGGGGUUGGAUAUUCCCUAAUCCUUCUUCUGGCCCUUCCUCUGGUGGGACGGAUCGCUGUCGAGGACCUCCCAUCAGAGGACCCCCCUUCUUAGAAGAUCACUCCCCUUCUUGGGUGGGGGGGUCUCCUUUGAGGGAGGGUGGGGCGGAAACCCCAGACCGGAAACCCGCCAUUUUGUCUUCCCCCUGAGAUGGCGGCACCCUGGUCCACCCCUUACCGAUUCCCCUUAUCAAUCAUGACAGUCACUAAUCAAGUGAUUGUCUGAUUCCCCUAUCCCAUUCCUUAAUGCACCCUACCCAAUGUUCCCUUUUAUUUAAUAAACUACUUGUUGAGUUAUAUUUUAUAGAAAGAAAGAUCAUCCUAUUUAGUUUAUACCCAUGGUAUUAUGCCCACUCCGGAAAUAAAGAAUAAAAUCUGACAAGCCAUGUCGCCGCUCGCUGCUUCAACUCUGCUAUACAUCUCCAGCAUCGCGACAGCCCAAGUUUCGAAUUAGAUCAAGCUGUGAAUUCUGCUGAAUGUUUUACCCUGAAUUCAGAAUUUGUUUAUGUCAAUUUUAUACGCUUUGUAUAUUAAUUUGUUUUAUUGUAAUUAUAAUUACUUUGUACUUUUCUGAUGUUAUUCAAUUUAUUUCUGUUUAAUAAUUUGUAAUGUUACUAUAUGAUUUUGUUGUAUUUUACAUAUGAAGUUUAUAUUGUUUAUAUGCAGUAUUAAUUUGUUUAAAUGUCAGAAUUCUCUUUUCUUUUGUAAAAAGAAAAAGAGGGAGAUGCGGGAGUAUGUUCUUUGUUCUUUCAGUGUCUGUACACACCCCCCCCCCCCAUCUCACUCCUAACCCCCUUCUCUCCAAGAUGUGAAUCUCCCCUCCCCCCGUUUCUUUCCCUGCCCCCUUUCACAGACUGUUUAGUUUUUUAGUCCUACCCCAAACUCCUCCCCUGUUAUUCCCCUAUUGGUUGCUGUUCAUAUACCCCUCCCCAUAAGUUCUUGUAUAAAACAUCUGCUUGCCCCCCACAAGGCAUCUUGGGGCACGCGAAAUAAACCGAACCUGUUCACC
rnacentral:lncRNA from 1 species